rnacentral:rRNA from 1 species
CAGUCGCCGCGGUAAUACGAAGGGGGCUAGCGUUGCUCGGAAUCACUGGGCGUAAAGGGUGCGUAGGCGGGUCUUUAAGUCAGGGGUGAAAUCCUGGAGCUCAACUCCAGAACUGCCUUUGAUACUGAAGAUCUCGAGUUCGGGAGAGGUGAGUGGAACUGCGAGUGUAGAGGUGAAAUUCGUAGAUAUUCGCAAGAACACCAGUGGCGAAGGCGGCUCACUGGCCCGAUACUGACGCUGAGGCACGAAAGCGUGGGGAGCAAACAGGAUUAGAUACCCCCGUAGUCCCUGUCUCUUAUAA